UCCUACGGGAGGCAGCAGUGAGGAAUAUUGGUCAAUGGGCGGAAGCCUGAACCAGCCAAGUCGCGUGGAGGAAGACGGCCCUACGGGUUGUAAACUCCUUUUACCUGGGAAUAACGGGCGCUACGUGUAGCGCUGUGCAUGUACCGGGAGAAUAAGCAUCGGCUAAUUCCGUGCCAGCAGCCGCGGUAAUACGGAAGAUGCGAGCGUUAUCCGGAUUUAUUGGGUUUAAAGGGUGCGUAGGCGGAAGAAUAAGUCAGCGGUGAAAUGCUUCAGCUCAACUGGAGAAUUGCCGAUGAAACUGUUUUUCUAGAGUAUAAAAGAGGUAUGCGGAAUGCGUGGUGUAGCGGUGAAAUGCAUAGAUAUCACGCAGAACCCCGAUUGCGAAGGCAGCAUACUGGGCUAUAACUGACGCUGAAGCACGAAAGCGUGGGUAUCGAACAGGAUUAGAUACCCUGGUAGUCC
rnacentral:rRNA from 1 species